GGGGUUGUGGCUCAGAGGUAGAGCACUCGCCUAACAUGUGUGAGGCACUGGGUUCGAUCCUCAGCAUCACAU
rnacentral:tRNA from 1 species